UACGUAGGGUGCGAGCGUUAAUCGGAAUUACUGGGCGUACAGCGUGCGCAGGCGGUGAUGUAAGACCGAUGUGAAAUCCCCGGGCUUAACCUGGGAACUGCAUUGGUGACUGCAUUGCUGGAGUAUGGCAGAGGGGGGUGGAAUUCCACGUGUAGCAGUGAAAUGCGUAGAGAUGUGGAGGAACACCGAUGGCGAAGGCAGCCCCCUGGGCCAAUACUGACGCUCAUGCACGAAAGCGUGGGGAGCAAACAGG
rnacentral:rRNA from 1 species